GACGAACGCUGGCGGCGUGCUUAACACAUGCAAGUCGAACGAAGAGCGACGGAAGCUUGCUUCUAUCAAUCUUAGUGGCGAACGGGUGAGUAACGCGUAAUCAACCUGCCCUUCAGAGGGGGACAACAGUUGGAAGCGACUGCUAAUACCGCAUACGAUCUAACCUCGGCAUCGAGGAUAGAUGAAAGGUGGCCUCUACAUGUAAGCUAUCACUGAAGGAGGGGAUUGAGUCUGAUUAGCUAGUUGGAGGGGUAACGGCCCACCAAGGCGAUGGUCAGUAGCCGGUCUGAGAGGAUGAACCGCCACAAUGGGACUGAGACACGGCCCAGACUCCUACGGGAGGCAGCAGUGGGGAAUCUUCCGCAAUGGACGAAAGGCUGACGGAGCAACGCCGCGUGAGUGAUGACGGCCUUCGGGUUGGAAAGCUCGGUUAAUCGGGACGAAAGGCCUUCUUGCGAAUAGUGAGAAGGAUUGACGGUACCGGAAGAGAAAGCCACGGCUAACUACGUG
rnacentral:rRNA from 1 species